AGCUGAUCAGGAGGAGAAGUUCAUACUCUUUGAGCUGGAUCUAUCUGCACAUGCACCUGGCCCAGGAAGCUGAAAUGGAAGAUCUGAUGAGCAGUGGAGGACUGAACCAAAGCCCUUGGCUUUUGCUCCAUACCACUCAGAGUCUCAUCAGGAUAUCAUGUUGCAUUGAGUAGUCAUGUCUCCACAGGCUCUUUUUGGCUGUGACUCUUACUCAUGCUUUCCUUGGUUUUGCCCACCUUACAGUUUACAGAAGUAGUAGUCAGCCAUUCUGGACACACACAUGGGCAGAAGAUGUAGCUGCCUUUGUGUAAAAGUUUGAGAGCUCUCUACUCCAUCUUCCACAUAGUAUAACCCUCAUUGGCUGGAAUCAUAAUGACAUCUGCAUCUGGAACUGGCCACCAGUAUAACACCUACAAAAUGCACAAUGGCCUUCGGACCAUAUGAAAAGUCUACAGGGUGAGAAUCUGAAAAUCCAGCAAUGAGGAGAAAAAAGUGAUCUCCCAUUAAGAACACUUUUCAGAAGCUACACAAUUCCAGUUACUGAUUCAUCCCAUUUACUGGAACCUGUUCAUCUGGCUAUGCCCAAAAGCAAGGGAAACUGAAAUAGUGGCUAUUGGCUAUUAUAGUCUGUAACUCAGCCUAGCCUAGCUUCAGAAGUUUUAAUAAAGAAAAUAAAAU
rnacentral:lncRNA from 1 species